rnacentral:rRNA from 1 species
AUAUAGAUUAAGUUAUUAAGGGCGCACGGUGGAUGCCUUGGCACUAGAAGCCGACGAAGGACGUUACUAACGACGAUAUGCUUUGGGGAGCUGUAAGUAAGCUUUGAUCCAGAGAUUUCCGAAUGGGGAAACCCAGCACGAGUUAUGUCGUGUUAUCUGCAUGUGAAUACAUAGCAUGCAAGAA